rnacentral:rRNA from 1 species
GCUGGCGGUAUGCCUAACACAUGCAAGUCGUACGAGAGUUUUUAACUCAAGUGGCGGACGGGUGAGUAACACGUGAGAAUCUACCUUUAGGAGGGGGAUAACAACUGGAAACGGUUGCUAAUACCCCAUAUGCUUUCGAGUGAAAUGGAUUUAUCCGCCUAGAGAGGAGCUCGCGGCUGAUUAGCUUGUUGGUAGGGUAAUGGCCUACCAAGGCGACGAUCAGUAUCUGGUUUGAGAGGACGAUCAGACACACUGGAACUGAGACACGGUCCAGACUCCUACGGGAGGCAGCAGUGGGGAAUUUUCCGCAAUGGGCGAAAGCCUGACGGAGCAAUACCGCGUGAGGGAAGACGGCCUAUGGGUUGUAAACCUCUUUUCUCAGGGAGGAACUCAAUGACGUGUACCUGAGGAAUAAGCAUCGGCUAACUCCGUGCCAGCAGCCGCGGUAAGACGGAGGAUGCAAGUGUUAUCCGGAAUCACUGGGCGUAAAGCGUCUGUAGGUGGUUUAAUAAGUCAACUGUUAAAUCUUGAAGCUCAACUUCAAAAUCGCAGUCGAAGCUAUUAGACUAGAGUAUAGUA